GUACAUGUGGAUGAUUUCUGCACAGAUUAGGCCAUAUGAGCCAGUGUAUGGAAAUGUUUCUGCUACAUG
rnacentral:pre_miRNA from 1 species